ACGCGAGCUGGGUUUAGAACGUCGUGAGACAGUUCGGUCCCUAUCUGCCGUGGGCGUUGGAGAUUUGAGAGGAGCUGCUCCUAGUACGAGAGGACCGGAGUGGACGAACCUCUGGUGUUCCGGUUGUCACGCCAGUGGCAUUGCCGGGUAGCUACGUUCGGACGGGAUAACCGCUGAAAGCAUCUAAGCGGGAAGCCUCCCUCAAGAUGAGAUCUCCCUGACCCCUUGAGGGUCCUGAAGGGCCGUGGAAGACCACCACGUUGAUAGGCGGGAUGUGGACGCGCUGUGAGGCGUGAAGCUAACCCGUACUAAUUGCCCGUGCGGCUUGACCAUAUAAC
rnacentral:rRNA from 1 species